ACGGGCUUUACCUUGAAUAUGCUCCUUUUUUUCCUUUUCUUUCUUUUCUUUUUUCUUUUUUAGGGUGCUGUUCAAAAUGAAGGCUUCUUCAUCAAGGCCUUUAGUGAAGCCUGGGCAUUUAGGUCUAAAGCUCGGAGGAUCUUCUUUAGAUGCUCUUGCAUGUAAAGCACAAACUGUUUCAGUUUAAUGUACUUCCUCCUACUAACUUUAUGGGGAAGAUAAACAUUCUGUUGAUGGGAGGUCCUAGUCAGUUGCUUGAGAGAGCACAGCCCAGGUUAAACAAGGACUGACUAGGUGUAGAGAGAACCUUGUGAUUUCAAAGAGUUGCUGCUUUGGCAGUGCUUGUUCUAAGAAAAAUACUGCUAGGGAAGUUCCAACUUCUACUGCACUCAACAUCUAGUGAGAUCUGAUGUGUUGAAGUUGUUUUGGUUUGGCACACAGCAUGUUCAAUGAUGGUUACUCGCCUCACAAAGACAUGGAGAAGAAUCCUUUGGACACAGCAGAUGACACCUCCUGUUUUGUAGUGUAUCCUGGUGUCAUUUUCUGGGGAUGUGGUCAGGUAGUUGUUUUGUUGUUGUCAUUGGGCUUUUUAAAAAAACAAAAAAAUACCAAAAAAAUUUUUUGGUCUCUUUGGGUGGGGCGGGGGUGGGCUAAAGCCAUAGGAAGGAAAUGUGAUGUAUGUGUCCAGUAUGUACGAUUUUGUUUUUGUUUUGCAAGAAGAGUUGAACUAUUUUUGAUAACAAGAGUAAAUGGUGGAAAAUGCUUCUUAGUUGUCUUGUCUUUAUUUGCUUACCAAGUUUUGGAAUUUUAUUUAAAUCUUUAAAUGAUAGCAGUGUCUUAUGAAACAUGUAUUUACCUGAACUUUGUAACAGUUUUUGUGUUGAACCAUAUUCCCUGCUAUAUAAUCGUGUAAAUCUGUUUUUUAUUCACUAAUGAUCACUGCAGAAAUGACUAGAAAUGAGAUUGUACACAUGGAUAAUUAGGCUAUAUUUUGCAAAUCUCCCAAACUUUCCUAGUAUCUUAAAAUUCAUGGAGUACCUAAUUGCUUCCCAAAUUUGAUCACUUUGUUUCUUGAUGCAUGGGAGGUCGGCAAUAUAGACAAAGUGGACAUUAGUAUGUGAGGGCCUUGAUUGAUCUGUAAUAUUGCCAAUGAUGAAUUCAGGUUGUUUUUAGCACAAGUUUCUCUUUUUUAUGCUGGUAUUCUCACUGCCACAUUUUUGGAAACCUGUAUUACACCUUAAAUCUAUCAAUAAAUGAUAGUUUU
rnacentral:lncRNA from 1 species